CGGCCGUCGUCCAGGUGGGCCGCAGGCUCAUGGUCUGCGGCGACCUGGCGGGCGCCCGGCCCGUGUUCCACACCCCGUGGGCCGGC
rnacentral:tRNA from 1 species